GUUAUUUUUCUGCAUUAAAAAAAAUGUUUUCAGAUUCCAGUGUGGGCAUGUUUAUCUGAGCAUUUUUCUUCUGAAUUUUCCUUUGCAGUAAAAAUGUUAAUAGAGGUAAGUGAAAAAUAGUAUUGAUAACAUGUAAAGUAUCAUCUCAUCAUAGAUUUUCUGUGCCUCAUUAACUUAAUUAAUGUUGACUCCAUCCCAGUCAUUAUACGGAAAGCCAUGAAGGUCUCAGUUAUGUUCACUCAUUUUUGUUAUUUUUUCUGCCCCCUUGUUAGUGUCCACCACUUAGGAGGACAUUUGAGUGCCAUUCUUCAUCACUGCUACUGCUGUUGAUGGUUUCUGUGAGACUCCUGAUGACAUUGCCAAGGCUGCUGUUUCCUGGGACAGGUGGUUGAGGCACUGUGACAGCUGCAUUCACUGGCAUUCUGUUGAGUUCCUGGAAGAGCAUAGGAUCUAAGGAAGCAACACAUUUGGCACUGUUAUAGGAAUGGAAGACCAUUGUGGCUAUGACGAAUGAGCAAGAGGGAGAAGAGUAAGGAAUGAAGUUGAAGAGAACGAACCGAUGCAAUUAAACUAUCAAGUAUAUAGACCACAUUUACAGGGAGCUGGAUGUUCCAAAAAGAUAGACUGGUCUACUCAAUGGUCAGAACAGCUGAGGUGCUGAGCAUCUGUUGGAAAAAGCUGUGCCAAGAGACUCAGCAACAGCAGCAACAAAAACCAUUGUCACAGAGGUGGAAACUGGCUGAAGGACUUGCUCAGUGGUGUGGCUGGUGGAGAAGAUGCCAGUAAGAACUUCAGAAGCUUUAGGGGAGAAAUACAGAGAAGUCUGGGUCCUGGAUAGCAGUAUGCAGAGAGCCUCCCACCCCAGUGACAUGCAUUGGACUGUGAGAGGAUCAAGAAAUAAAUAAAACCAUUCAUCACACUAUCCAAACCAGAAAUCCUGGAAUGAUUUGGCUCACCUAUGCUGUUUCAAUGCUUCUCUCUACAGUGGCAUAUUCAAAUGAUCUCAACAGAUUCACAGGACUUUCCAUUAGUGUCCACCUCAGCCAUGUGGAUGAUCCAUCAAUUCUAUUUUCUAAUGAUGUACAUGCAAUGACAUUCAUUUCUAUGAAAUGUCAUGUAUAAUCCAGCAUAAAAUGGAGACAAUUUGUGCACUUCUUACUCAGUGUGUUACUGUGAGAAUGAUGUUCCAAGAUCAUCAAAGUUAAGUGCUUAAAUAUUCAAUGCAUAUCAGCUCAACAAACAUUUACUGAAUACCCAAUAUUAUGGCUACACUUCAGGAAGUUCUGAUAUUUACUGCCUUCAGGGAUAUUUUACACAGCAUCAGAGAAGCUUAUGUUAGAACACAUGUUGUAUCAUAGAGGAAAGACAUUCGUAAGAUUUCAAAAAGAAGAAGCAAAACAAACUGUCCCUAAAUGAUAAAGAAACAGAAGAUUAGGAAGCUGAGAAUGAGAGGUUGAGGAAGAACUUGAGGACAUUCACUCCCCAACACUUGAUAAGAGGUACAUAAAAUAAACCAAAAAAAAAAAACAAAAACAAAAGCACAUUAAACUCUGACAGGGCCUAAGAUGAUCCGUAAAGUUCUAGGGUCAGUCUUUAUGCAAAGCAUUGAAGAGGACAAAGUGGGAUGAUAAUAUGUUGGGUUCUACACUGGGACCUUCUCAUACAAUAAGGCUUUCUAUGAAGAUGUUACAAUGUAGUUAGAGUGACAAAACAAAGAACAUAACCUGAGUUUUCUUUACUGGCCUCAAAGUAGGUGUUAGUAGAGUUACUAUCUAACUUGUACAUAUGUACAUGUAUUUUCCAAAAGUAGAAUUCUCAGCUUGCUUUCCUCAAGGUUUCAUCUUGGCAUUUUUAGAAAAGUCAGAGAAGGGUCUACUCUGUUCAUCAUGCAGUCUUCACAAGCCCUUGAAUCCCUGCCCUCCCUUCCUCCACAUUUCUCCACUGCCUCAAACACUCCUGUAUGGUGGGGGUUUUCCCCAUUACCAUCAACCUAUGCCCGCAUGAGAAAAUCCAAUGUCCAUCCCAAGGGUAUGAUCUACCAGUGUUUCCCAGGUUUCUCAGCUUUGAGAUUCCUAAGACAUUCUAGGAUUGCAAUUGCUCUUCCCAUUCUAAAGCUACAGGGAAUAUAACUUGUCCUUCCCUCCCUAUAACACAUUACCCCACACUAGCUCAUCACCAUUUUACAGGUGAGAAACUUUGGUAUAGCAAAGUUGAAUGACUUGGCCAAAACCACCCACGUGGCAAAUACUUAUAUUCACUGGCCUUAAAUAUGGUGCAAACUCUCAAUGGACAGCCCUAAAAUUGCCUGGAUUCUUAAGAAGAGCAAAAUUUGGGGUAAUUUGAAAUAUCUGCUAUACAUCCCAAACUGUGAAAGCAAUAUAGAAGUCUGUACUGAUAAUAGGCACCCACAGAGCAAGAUGACAGUGGGAGGGAGAAGGAGCCCUAGAGGAACUCCUGAGUCCUGAAUUUAUUGAAUCCACAUUACUUGUUUUCCUGGAAUUACCAUCCACUCUUGAGAAUGGCUCAGGUCAAAUGAGCACCUUCAGAUUGCUGAGUAAAAUCCAUGAGCCUUUCAUCGUGGCCCCUUCACUGCAGAAGCACCUUUGGGCCUCACUGUCCUAAUCUGCAAACUUGAGCCAGCAGUGGUACCGCAAAAUGACUAAAAUCACAGCUCCGGGAGACAGCUCUGCCAUGAGCAAGUUCCUUAACACCUCCUCAUCUAUAAAAGGGUUAUUUCACAGUAUCCCCAUCACAGAUUUGGUAGGAAAAUUAAAUUAGCUAGCAUGAAGUGUUCAGAGCAAUAUUUGGCCCAUGGUAAAGGGCUUAAGUAUUAUUAAAAUUAAUGUUAUGGAAAAGACCACUUCAUUCACGACGCAAUGAGAUGGGGAGUUUCAGAACCAGUUUCUUUUAUUUAUAUACCUUUGGAGCCCACAAAACCUCAUACCAAACCCAUGUCAUCUUGCUAGUUGAUUCCUAUUUGCUCCUGGCAAAGUAUGUCUUUCCACAUAUAAAGAAAAAUGUCCAGAAUAGAUACACUGGAUAUCCAAUAUCCAACUCUUGCAAAAUAGCAUUCUGAUGAGAGGAAGGUAAAUUAAUCAGACUCCUGAUGAUUAAAUCUCUUUGAAAAUACACUGGGGUGGGGGGGCGGUGGGGGGAAGCACUGGGAAAAGUGAACCACGGCUUUGUAGAAACACAUUUUCAGCCAAAUCCUAAGCAUCACUCCACAAGCUCAUGAAAUGCCUUGGACAUGUUUAAAAGAAAGCUUUGUUGAGCUACACAAUUCUUCAUCACUUUAGGGACACUCAAAUACAUUUAUAUGUAAUUUGCUUUUGCAUGAUUUUAUUAAAAGAAGAAACCCUGAGUGAGUUUUUCUCAUAUUUGCAUAAUAAAAAUAUUAAUACUUACUUAAAGGUCAAUUCUAGAUAUGCAUUUUCCUAUUUUAAAUAUUUGUAUGCUAAGCAUUUAAUAUUCCCAACAUGUUUUCUGAUACAAGAAUCAAAGCAGUAUCUCUACUAAAUGACUCUGAACAUGGCCCUUGUUUGGAAAUAACCUGAAGUUCACUGUAGAGAUUUUAGGCUGUUACUAUUUUAGGAAAUAAAUGAAUGCAUUGGUCUAUAGCCCACAUUCCAUUUUAUCUAGAAAAUUAUAUGCCACAGACCAUAAGGCAUAUUUUUUCUUAAUAAAUAGUUGUGCAAUGUCAUGAUUAACUGCAUGGAAAUAAGACAAGGGGGUGUUUUCCUUCCAGGAGAAGUAAAAUUUCUGGAAAGGUAAUUAAUGGUCUUUUCUAUUCUUAAUUUUUUGAAAGAGCUAUCUGUUUAAACUAAAAGUGUUUAGAUUAAAUUACAUCUGCUUACUUGCAGUUUUGAUAUUUCCUUCUCAGAAACCAAAACGCUUUCCAGCUAAAGUUCAGGUCCUAGCAUAAACGACAUACUUCUGGUUUUCCCACAUUUUAUUUCAGAUGUUGAGCCAAACUCAAAUUAGAUUCAUAUUUUCUCUUCUUUUUUUUAAGUCCCACAAACUCUAUAUGGGUAUAGAUUACGUCUGUUUAGAAAAUUUUGUUGAGACUAGAAAGAUAAGCAGUACAAUAUGAACUUUAUAAUUCAACUUACAAAAUUAUCUUUAAGUCAAUGCCAUUUAAAAAGCAAAAAUGAAAUGAAUCAAGGCUAGUAUGUGGGUAAAGCAAAUUUAUUUAAAUAAGGAUGGACUUUAAAGGAAA